rnacentral:rRNA from 1 species
CGUCGCCGGCGACCGGCGCACGGGUGAGUAACACGUAUGCAACCUGGCCGUGACAGAUGGAUAACCGGGAGAAAUCCCGCCUAAUACAACAUAAUGCCGGGAGGGGACAUCCCCUGCCGGCCAAAGGGGCGACCCCGGUCACGGAUGGGCAUGCGGCGCAUUAGGUAGUUGGUGGGGCAACGGCCCACCAAGCCGACGAUGCGUAGGGGUUCUGAGAGGAAGGUCCCCCACAUUGGAACUGAGACACGGUCCAAACUCCUACGGGAGGCAGCAG